CACGUAGGGCGCAAGCGUUGUCCGGAUUUAUUGGGCGUAAAGAGCGUGUAGGCGGUCUGGUAGGUCCGUUGUGAAAACUCGAGGCUCAACCUCGAGACGCCGAUGGAAACCAUCAGACUAGAGUCCGGAAGAGGAGAGUGGAAUUCCUGGUGUAGCGGUGAAAUGCGCAGAUAUCAGGAAGAACACCGGUGGCGAAGGCGGGUCUCUGGGCCGACACUGACGCUGAGGAGCGAAAGCGUGGGGAGCGAACAGG
rnacentral:rRNA from 1 species